ACUUGCUACUUUGUCGGGUCUCUACCUAGACAACAGCCACAGAAAGCUCUGACUUUGGGCUUGAGGAAAGAAAGUGUUUUAGGAGCUAUGGAAGCUAAAGAAAAGUUAGAGAGGAUUGGGGUGAAGAAGGGUGCUGGAACCAAUUUUUUCUCCCAGUUGCCAGUUAUCCUGCCCCCUCAUUGAUGGUAUUUCUCUCCAUUUCAAUGGUGCUUUGGAAGUGGAUUCUUUUGGUUUCCUCCUGGAGGUUGAUACAUUCAUAUAUAUACUGUGGAAUAAUUUAUGCAUUUGGAUAAUUAAUAUAUUGCUUUCAGAUGGUAGGAAGGUAAAUGAACAGUGAUCCAUGACUGCCUCUCUCAUAGGGGAUUAGAUGUUAGAGGCCUUGAUAAAAGGCUGCAUGAGAUGCUGCAUGCAGACUUUUGUGAUCUGGGUAUAGUCAUGACCAUGGCUCAGUCACCUUAAAUUAGUCCUGGUGACUGGCAUAGCCUUUCCCCACCCAUAAUGCAGAUUCGCUGGCUGCUUUGCCAAUAUUUGUUUACCAGUAGUUUGCAAGAUAAGGAAACAUCGUUGUUGACAGGUUGAAUGUGUUGAAUUUCUGGCAAAUACUUGGAAAUAUUUCUCUUUUUUUUUCCCAAAUCUUUAGCAUGUGCCUUCAAAGGCAUAUGCAACUGUCACCUCCAAGGAAAUCACAUAAGAAAUCCAAAGUACCAGGCUGCAGUCAUGAUCAAGGUUGAUUGCAGCAAUCUCCUCAACUACCUCUUCUCAUUACCAGUGACUCCAUCUUGGAAUCCCUUUGGGAAGCAGCUAGGAAUGUAUAUAUGGGCGGGACCAACAUGGGGCCUUGCCACAGAGCUGCCUCCAAGGACACAGAAGGUGUCAGUUGUCACAGGUCCUUGUCCUUUGUCUCUGCCCUUCAUUGAGGCAAUAGAACUACAGAUAGUACCAUUAAGAUGAGUUUUCAGGGGUCUAGGGAAGUUAAGGGUGGGAGGGUAUUAGGUAAGGGAGAUAGACGUUUAGAGAUGUGUUAAGUUAGAAAUCAGAUUGAUGCAAGUGUAUCCUGUAUUAUGCCAUGGGCUAUAGUGAUGGGGAGGAACUUUACUUAGCAAUGUAGCAUUAAGUUUAGUGAUGAGGAAUCUGAGAGUUGGAAAAGUUCACUGACUUUUUCAAGAUCACACAGCACAUCUCUCUGUUCUGCCAACUACAUACCCAUUUGGCAAAUGAUUAUAAAAAAGAAGACUCUGUUUUAAAGAAAGGACAUCUUCAUAGUCUAGGGCGUACCUAUGUUAUGAAAAUAUUCUUGGUGUGAAUAGAUUGAUUAGGUGUCUGAAUUCUUAUCUUGUCUCUGCUGGAGUGCCUUGUGUGAGACUGGAUUUUUUCCUCAUCCCAUUUAAUCAUUGAGCUACAUGAAAUGCACCCAUAAAGAAAAGUCAACCCAUCUGUUUUUCACUAUAAAAUCGGGUGUCUUGGGUCAUUUUAUGUAUUCCUCUGUGAGUAUAAGAGUGCUAUAUUUACCUGUAUUCUUGUGUAGUUCCUAAUUACCUUCCAAAAGAUUUAUGUGUGUGUUUGUGUGUGUGUGUCUGUCUGUCUGUCUGUCUGUCUGUCUGUCUGUAGAUGAGGGAAGGCAAUUCAACAACUUUUAACUAGUAUCUUUUUCACAUUUUUAAUAGCAAAGUGAUCAUCCAAUGUAUUGGUCCUCAGUUACAGAGUGAAUGACAAAUAGACAAUUAAAAGUGCAAGGAAAUAAACCCCUUCAGACAGUAGAAGAAUCAGGCAGCAAACACCAGGAGAGCUACUUUCUGUCCAAGCAAAUGAAUGAAAAUCAAAGAAACUUCAUGUCCUCUCAUGAUGAAAACUCAUUGAUAGAAUUUGGGCUGACUCUGGGAGCCAUUAUUAUAAUCACAUACUCUAAAGUGAUAGAUGAAAUGAAUUCCUCACUGUGGCAACCAUCGCUUUAGAGUCAUGUGUUUGGGGAGAAAAGGAAGUCCUUGCUGAAGUAUGAACUUUCCAGAACCUUUGUGCCCUGUCACAUAAGAGGCACUCCUUCUCUUCAGUUUUCUGUCCCAGGAAAUUUGCUAGAAGGACAUUGUGUGUCUAAGACAUGGAAGAAGACUAUAUUGGUAUAGUCUGUAUAGACUCCACCAUUUGAGAAAAAUUUCUACCACAUACCAGUUAAAAAAUUCAGUAUAUGGGAUGAAUCUCGAAUUAACCUUGCCUUCACAGUUGUGUGGAUGUAACAUUUCAGGCCUUUUCCUGGACUUCCCAGAAGAGGAGGGAAUAUUUCUUGUCUUAACUUUUACUGUCUAGUUGUCUAUGAGGAUCUUAUAAUUCAUUUUGUUAUCCCCAAUGUCCCAUGUCCAGCAAAAUUUCAUUUGAGGGAACUAUACUUGAUACAAAACUAUUAACAUUGUUGAGGAAGUAAUUUAACUUCCUUUGAAAGUCAUGUAUUGUGACUGUUGUCUUAAUGAAGGUUUUAAUUUCAGUGUUGCUUUUGAGCUGCAGGGUGACGGGGCAGUAGAAACUUGAAACAUCUGCCAUCAUCCAUGGCAGGAAACAUAGCAAGAUGUUCUCUUUUUACUUUUGCACUGUUGAGUGGGUCUAACAAACUGAUUUCCCAGCUAGUUUUUAAAAUGAAGAAUCUAAAUAAUGUGGCAGCUUAAAGUAUAGAUGUAUGUGCUAACUUGAAUAAAUGCUCAUGUCUGUUAGCCAUACAGUCUGUUAUCUUACAUCCUCAUUCAUACAUGGAUUAUGUUACUUAAGAUAUGUUCCUUCUUACAGAAAAUAUUUUCAAAGGGAACUAUUCACUGUGGGUUCAUUGUCACUGAUUUCUGCCUGCCACAAUCUUCAGAAAUUCUUCUCUCAUGUGCCACCCAUUGACAGUAGGACAAGGGUUGGAAAUACAUUUUCUUCUGGUGGUAAGGGUGGGUGACAAGACGUUUUCAAAUCCUUCUGGCCUCCUUUGCGAUCGAUGGCAUGUGUUUAAUAAGAUGGCUAGAUGGGACUGGCAGAUUGUUCAAGAAGAAUUACUUUUGGCUUAAUGUACAUGGUCUUGUAGUGAUUGUGAUCCUAUUCUGUAAUCAAGAGAGUUAGAUCAAAUAAAGUUAAGCAGGUUAAAUCC
rnacentral:lncRNA from 1 species